rnacentral:rRNA from 1 species
AGAGUUUGAUCCUGGCUCAGGAUGAACGCUGGCGGCGUGCCUAAUACAUGCAAGUCGAACGGGAAGCAGCAAUGUUUCUAGUGGCGACCGGGUGAGUAACACGUAGCUGACCUGCCCUACCGCGGGGGACAACAGUCCGAAAGGAUUGCCAAUACCGCAUACGCUCGGAGGAACUAAAGUACUCUGAGGAAACUUACGGGGCGGAAGGAGGGAGCUGCGGCCCAUCAGGUAGUUGGUGAGGUAACGGCUCACCAAGCCGACGACGGGUAGGGGGCCUGAGAGGGUGGUCCCCCACACUGGAACUGACACACGGUCCAGACUCCUACGGGAGGCAGCAGUAAGGGAUAUUGGUCAAUGGGCGAAAGCCUGAACCAGCAACGCCGCGUGGAGGAUGAAGGCCUUCGGGUUGUAAACUUCUUUGGAGGGGGACGAUAAUGACGGUACCCCUCGAACAAGUCACGGCUAACUACGUGCCAGCAGCCGCGGUAAAACGUAGGUGGCAAGCGUUAUCCGGAUUUACUGGGCGUAAAGGGUGUGCAGGCGGAGGCCCAAGUGGUGUAUGAAAGCUCCCAGCUUAACUGGGAAGGGUUAUGCCAGACUGGGCAUCUAGAGUGUGGGAGAGGGACGUGGAAUUCCGGGUGUAGUGGUAAAAUGCGUAGAGAUCCGGAGGAACACCAGAGGCGAAGGCGGCGUCCUGGCCCAUAACUGACGCUCAUCCACGACAGCAUGGGGAGCGAACGGGAUUAGAAACCCCGGUAGUCCAUGCCGUAAACGAUGCAGACUAGGCGCUGGAGGUCUCAACCCCUUCGGUGCCGUAGCUAACGCGCUAAGUCUGCCGCCUGGGGAGUACGACCGCAAGGUUAAAACUCAAAGGAAUUGACGGGGGCCCGCACAAGCAGCGGAGCGUGUGGUUUAAUUCGAGCCUACACGAAGAACCUUACCUGGGUUUGACAUGGCUCUGAACGCGGUGGAAACACCAAGGUUCGCAAGACAGAGUCACAGGUGCUGCAUGGCUGUCGUCAGCUCGUGCCGUGAGGUGUUAGGUUAAGUCCUGUAACGAGCGCAACCCUCGGGUCUAGUUACACGGUGUCUAGACCGACUGCCCGUGACAAGCGGGAGGAAGGUGGGGAUGACGUCAAGUCAGCAUGGCCUUUAUAUCCAGGGCUACACACACGCUACAAUAGCCGGUACAAUGGGUCGCCAAGCCGCAAGGCGGAGCCAAUCCAUCUAAAGCCGGUCUCAGUUCAGAUUGAGGGCUGCAACCCGCCCUCAUGAAGUCGGAGUUGCUAGUAACCGCAGGUCAGCUAUACUGCGGUGAAUACGUUCCCGGGCCUUGUACACACCGCCCGUCACGUCAUGGGAGCUGGUUAGGCCUGAAGCCAGUGAGCUAACCGCAAGGAGGCAACUGUCCAAGGCAUGACCGGUGACUGGGACGAAGUCGUAACAAGGUA